GAAGUAUGUUCAGCUGUUUGUUUUAACUCUAGCUUCCUCUUCUGGUGUGGACAGCUGCAAGUAAUUUGUUUUCUGUGACCCUUAGUGUUGACAGCUGAAACUGUGAUAAGUCAGCUGAAGGUGUCCCUCCUCAUUCCAUCAGGCACAGGGGAUCAGGAAGUGGAAGCAGCCCUUUAUAAUGCCAGUCUUGCUCUCGAAGCUUACUUAAAGAACAAAUUCAGUGCAAUCAACUCGUUCAGAAUCCGCAAAUUCAUCAAGCCCUAAGAAACACAAUUUAACCAUGAGGAACCAUGGAGAAAGUGGUACAGGUGGCAAAAAAGAAAAUUAAUAAAAUCAAUUCUGUAUUUCACUGGGUGGCCUGUAGCGUAGCGAUUAAGGUACAUGGCUGGGACUCACAAGGUCUGUGGUUAGAUCCGGUGUUGCCCUAAUAAGAUCCGCACAGCCAUUGGACCGUUGAGCAAGGCCUGUAACCCUGCAUUGCACUCAGGGUGGAUUAUCUCCUGCUUUGUCUAAUCAACUGUAUGUCGCUCUGGAUAAGAGCAUCUGCCAAAUACCAUUAAUGUAAUGUAAUACUGUCUACCCAAGAAUACAGCGGAAUUCCUACCCAUUCGUAUUUUUAUAUUAAUCUAUCAUGACUUCAUCUCAUUCAUUACAUAUUCCUUGUACAGAUCUUGAGUGAAAUUUUCUGAAUCAGUAGCAUUACAAAAGGAAACUAAAGAUACCUAUGCACUAUAUUAGUCUUGGAAAAAAAUAUAUGAAAAGUGAUUAAUCAGUAACCUAUAGGUGCAUAACAUUGUACCUCUAGCCAGCAGUAUACAGUGGCUUCAGAAUGUAUUCAGACCCCUUCACUUUUUGCACACAUUAUUGGGUUGUAGAUUUAAAUUUAAAUGGAUAUAAUUGGCAUUUUUGCCCAUGAACCUACAUUCAAUAACGCAUGACAAAGUGAAAACAUGUUUUUAGACAUUUUUGCAAAUGUAUUACAAAUCAAGCGUCUUGGCUGUAUUCUUGGGGCAUGCUUCAUUGUCGUGCUGUAAGGUGAACCGUUGCCCCUGUCUGAGGUUUUGUUUAUUCAAGGAGUGGUUGAAGUUCUGCCCAAAGAGUUCAAUAUUUGUCCCAUCAGAUCUUUUCCCUCAUGCUCUCAGAGUCCUUUAAGUUCUGUUUGGUAAACUCCAAGCAGGCUGUCAUAUGCCUUUUACUCAAGAGUGGCUUCUCUCUAGCCAAUCUACCAUAAAGCCCUGAUUGAUGGAGUGCUGCUGAGAUGGUUGUGCUUCCGGCAAGUUCUCUGCAGAGGACCUCCGAAGCUGAAGUUUGAGUAACCGUUGGGUUCUUGGUCAUCUCCCUGACCAAGGCCCUUCUUGGCCGUUACUCUGUUCUAGGAGCUCUAGGAAGAGUCCUGGUGUUUCCUAGCUUCAUACUUUUCACAUUUAUUUAGGCCAUGUUCCUGGCAAAACUCAAAGCUUUAGACAUUGUUUUAUACCCUUGCCCUGAUCAAUGCCCUCUCCACAAUUAUAUCACAGAGGUGUACAGAGAGUUCCUUAGACUUCAUGGCUUGGUUUUUGUCCUGACAUGCAGUGUGAAUUGUGGGACAUAUAUACAAAGGUGUGUGCCUUUCUAAUCUAUGCAAUGAAUUGAAUACUUCAAUUCAGACCCUUUGCUGUAAAUUAGAGAUUUCAGUUUUUGAUUUGUAAUACAUUUUAAAACAUUUAUAACGUGUUUUCACUUUGUCAUUAUGGGUUAUUUCCCCAUUAAAUCUACAUUUAAUGGGUCUGAAUAAGCCACUGUAUAAUUAUUUUUGUUUUGAAACAUAUUCAUUUGUACCCAAAGAGAACAUUACUGUACUUUCAGGGUAAAUUUGGGAAAACUGGUCCUUGAAGAAAAAUGUACCUCCCCUGUCACUUUAUUCCUUGAUUCACCUUCUUGUAUCUGACUUACCGAAUGCAAAUAAAUCUGUUUGUGAAUGAAUAAAGUUUUUUUUCUGA